UACGGGGGGAGCAAGCGUUGUUCGGAUUUACUGGGCGUAAAGGGCGCGUAGGCGGCGCAACAAGUCACUUGUGAAAUCUCCGGGCUUAACCCGGAGCGGUCAAGUGAUACUGUCGUGCUAGAGUGCGGAAGGGGCUACUGGAAUUCUCGGUGUAGCGGUGAAAUGCGUAGAUAUCGAGGAGGGAACACCCUGCGGCGAAGGCGGGUAGCUGGGCCGACACUGACGCUGAUGCGCGAAAGCCAGGGGAGCGAACGGG
rnacentral:rRNA from 1 species